rnacentral:rRNA from 1 species
CCUACGGGUGGCUGCAGUGGGGAAUAUUGGACAAUGGGGGGAACCCUGAUCCAGCCAUGCCGCGUGUGUGAAGAAGGCCCUCGGGUUGUAAAGCACUUUCAGUGAGGAAGAACGCCUGGUGGUUAAUACCCAUCAGGAAAGACAUCACUCACAGAAGAAGCACCGGCUAACUCCGUGCCAGCAGCCGCGGUAAUACGGAGGGUGCGAGCGUUAAUCGGAAUUACUGGGCGUAAAGCGCGCGUAGGUGGCUUGAUAAGCCGGUUGUGAAAGCCCCGGGCUCAACCUGGGAACGGCAUCCGGAACUGUCAAGCUAGAGUGCAGGAGAGGAAGGUAGAAUUCCCGGUGGAGCGGUGAAAUGCGUAGAGAUCGGGAGGAAUACCAGUGGCGAAGGCGGCCUUCUGGACUGACACUGACACUGAGGUGCGAAAGCGUGGGUAGCAAACAGGAUUAGAUACCCUAGUAGUC